GGUUCGCUAGCUCAGCUGGUAGAGCACAUCCCUUUUAAGGAUGGGGUCUUGGGUUCGAGCCCCAAGCGAGCCACAA
rnacentral:tRNA from 1 species